GUGGGGAAUCUUGCGCAAUGGGCGAAAGCCUGACGCAGCCAUGCCGCGUGAAUGAUGAAGGUCUUAGGAUUGUAAAAUUCUUUAACCGGGGAGGAUAAUGACGGUACCCGGAGAAGAAGCUCCGGCUAACUUCGUGCCAGCAGCCGCGGUAAUACGAAGGGGGCUAGCGUUGCUCGGAAUUACUGGGCGUAAAGGGCGCGUAGGCGGACAGCUUAGUCAGAGGUGAAAGCCCAGGGCUCAACCGUGGAAUUGCCUUUGAUACUGGCUGUCUUGAGUUUGGGAGAGGUGAGUGGAACUCCGAGUGUAGAGGUGAAAUUCGUAGAUAUUCGGAAGAACACCAGUGGCGAAGGCGACUCACUGGCCCAAUACUGACGCUGAGGCGCGAAAGCGUGGGGAGCAAACAGGAUUAGAAACCCCUGUAGUCC
rnacentral:rRNA from 1 species